AGAACGAACGCUGGCGGCGUGCUUAACACAUGCAAGUCGAGUGCGCGCCUGUAGCAAUACAGGUGGCGCACGGCGCACGGGUGCGUAACACGUGGGUAAUCUGCCCUUCGAUGGGGAAUAACUCGCCGAAAGGUGAGCUAAUUCCGCAUAACAUUCCAAGGACUUCGGUUUUUGGACUCAAAGGCGUAAGUCGUCGGAGGAGGAGCCCGCGCACGAUUAGCUAGUUGGUGAGGUAAUGGCUCACCAAGGCUAUGAUCGUUAGC
rnacentral:rRNA from 1 species